CCCGGAGCUCUGCCGGGCCAGGCUGGGCUCGGUGACCGAGGGGGUCUGUUUGCAGGGCCCUGCUCGCGCUGGACACUCCAGCCUGGGAUGACAGUGGAGCUGGGCAGGCGAGCGAGCAGUCAGGGGAGAGUGAGGUCCUUCCUGCACACAGCCAGCCCCCACCGGGCUGCCCCCACCCCCAGCAGGGGGAUAUGCUGGAGGAAACCAAGUGGAGACAGCGACUCCUGCCAGCGUCCCUGGGCUGGGCCUGUACCCGCUGCCCCCGGUACCUGUCUCCAAAGGAAUUUGCCUUUGUGUGCUCCCCCCAGCCUGUGCUGUGGAGCCUGCAGGGAGGUGCAGUGGGGAGGAAGAAGAGACUUUUCAGUUCAGAGCUGCUGCUGCUCUUCAUCCCCUCGCUGCUGCUCAGCCACCUCCUGACCCUGGGGCUGGGGAUCUACAUUGGGAAGCACCUGGCAGCCACCUCGGCCAACCCCCUGUGAGGAGCCCUGUGCUGCCCCGCUCGGUGUGCAGGGGGAGCCCGGCACCUGCACAGCCCGACCGCUCCCAGGCUCCAUGUCUGUGGCACGAGGUGCCGCCUCCCCGGGUACCUCCUGUAGCCCCCACCUUGGGAGCUGAUCCCCCUCUCCCACGUAGACAGGAACCUGCUGACAGCAGCACCCAGCCGCAGGCAGCCCCUGCCCUCCCCAGCCCCUGGUUACGGGUCCAGGUCCCCUGUAACACAGACUGUAAAUAUGACUGAGCCCAUGUCAAUAAAGAGCCCUGUUCCAGCUUGGGGGCCCA
rnacentral:lncRNA from 1 species